rnacentral:rRNA from 1 species
GACGAACGCUGGCGGCGUGCCUAACACAUGCAAGUGGAGCGACGAACCAGGGCUUGCCCUGGGGCCAAGCCGCGAACGGGUGAGUAACACGUGGGUAACCUGCCCCGAUGACCGGGACAACCCGAGGAAACCCGGGCUAAUACCGGAUGUACUCCUCGCACAUACGUGCAAGGAGGAAAGGAAGCUUCGGCCUCCGCUUCGGGAGGGGCCCGCGGCCCAUUAGCUAGUUGGUGAGGUAACGGCUCACCAAGGCAACGAUGGGUAGCUGGUCUGAGAGGACGAUCAGCCACACUGGGACUGAGACACGGCCCAGACUCCUACGGGAGGCAGCAGUGGGGAAUCUUGCGCAAUGCGCGAAAGCGUGACGCAGCAACGCCGCGUGGGGGAAGAAGGCCUUCGGGUUGUAAACCCCUUUCAGGAGGGACGAAGGUAGGGCAGUGAACAGCUGUCCCUACUGACGGUACCUCCAGAAGAAGCCCCGGCUAACUACGUGCCAGCCGCCGCCGUAA